rnacentral:rRNA from 1 species
ACGAGAGCUUUUAGCUCUAGUGGCGGACGGGUGAGUAACACGUGAGAAUCUGCCCUUAGGAGGAGGAUAACAGCUGGAAACGGUUGCUAAUACUCCAUAUGCCGAGAGGUGAAAGGAUUUAUCCACCUAAGGAGGAGCUCGCGUCUGAUUAGCUAGUUGGUAGGGUAAAGGCCUACCAAGGCGACGAUCAGUAGCUGGUUUGAGAGGAUGAUCAGCCACACUGGGACUGAGACACGGCCCAGACUCCUACGGGAGGCAGCAGUAGGGAAUUUUCCGCAAUGGGCGAAAGCCUGACGGAGCAAUACCGCGUGAGGGAUGACGGCCUGUGGGUUGUAAACCUCUUUUCUCAAGGAAGAAGUUCUGACGGUACUUGAGGAAUAAGCAUCGGCUAACUCUGUGCCAGCAGCCGCGGUAAUACAGAGGAUGCAAGCGUUAUCCGGAAUCACUGGGCAUAAAGCGUCUGUAGGUUGUUUGGUAAGUCUGCUGUUAAAGACUGGGGCUCAACCCCAGAAAAGCAGUGGAAACUGCCGGACUUGAGUGUGG